UACGUAGGGUGCGAGCGUUGUCCGGAAUUAUUGGGCGUAAAGAGCUCGUAGGCGGUCUGUCGCGUCGGAUGUGAAAGCCCGGGCUUAACUCCGGGUCUGCAUUCGAUACGGGCAGACUAGAGUGUGGUAGGGGAGAUCGGAAUUCCUGGUGUAGCGGUGAAAUGCGCAGAUAUCAGGAGGAACACCGGUGGCGAAGGCGGAUCUCUGGGCCAUUACUGACGCUGAGGAGCGAAAGCGUGGGGAGCGAACAGG
rnacentral:rRNA from 1 species